CGUAGGUGGCAAGCGUUGUCCGGAAUUAUUGGGCGUAAAGCGCGCGCAGGCGGUUCCUUAAGUCUGAUGUGAAAGCCCCCGGCUCAACCGGGGAAGGUCAUUGGAAACUGGGGAACGUUGAGUGCAGAAGAGAAGGGCGGAAUUCCACGUGUAGCGGUGAAAUGCGUAGAGAUGUGGAGGAACACCAGUGGCGAAGGCGGCUCUUUGGUCUGUAACUGACGCUGAGGCGCGAAAGCGUGGGGAGCAAACAGGAUUAGAUACCCUGGUAGUCCACGCCGUAAACGAUGAGUGCUAAGUGUUAGAGGGUUUCCGCCCUUUAGUGCUGCAGCUAACGCAUUAAGCACUCCGCCUGGGGAGUACGGCCGCAAGGCUG
rnacentral:rRNA from 1 species